rnacentral:rRNA from 1 species
GAAAGCGAGAGAAGGGCGAAUGGAGGAUGCCUUGGCUUCCGAAGACGAAGAAGGACGCGGUAAGCUGCGAAAAUGUCCGGGGAUCGGCAAACACGAAUUGAUCCGGACGUGUCCGAAUGGGGCAACCCGGCGCGCUGAAGGCGCGUCACCAGAGCGAUCUGGGGUGAACGCAGGGAACUGAAACAUCUUAGUACCUGCAGGAAAAGAAAGAAAGAUCGAUGUCCUGAGUAGUGGCGAUCGAAAGGGACGGAGCCUAAACCGUCCGGUUCAAGGACCGGGCGGGGUUGUAGGGGUUUCCAAAGGAAUUCAACCGGGAACUGGAAGGGCAUGGAAAUGUCCGGCGAAGAGGGUGACACCCCCGUACAGGCGACCGGUUGGGACAGGGAGACUACCUGAGUAGGGCGGGACACGUGGAAUCCUGUCUGAAACAGCGAGGACCAUCUCGCAAGGCUAAACACUUCCGGAAGACCGAUAGUGAACCAGUACCGUGAGGGAAAGGUGGGAAGCACCCCGAACAGGGGAGUGAAANNAGAACCUGAAACCGUUCGUCUACAAGCGGUCGGAGAGGAGCGAUCCUCGACGGCGUGCCUAUUGAAUAAUGAGCCUACGAGUUGCAUCAUGCGGGCGAGGUUAAGCGCCUCAGGCGCGGAGCCGGAGCGAGAGCGAGUCCUAAUAGGGCGGAAGAGUCAGCAUGAGCAGACGCGAAACCUAGUGAUCUACCCUUGUCCAGGCUGAAGGGGCCGUAACAGGCUCUGGAGGGCCGAACCAGUUUCCGUUGAAAAGGGCUUGGAUGAGAUGAGGGUAGGAGUGAAAGGCCAAUCAAACUGGGAGAUAGCUCGUACUCCCCGAAAUGUCUUUAGGGACAGCCUCACACGUGCGUGCAUCAGGUAGAGCUACUGAUGGGAAGCGAGGGCUUCGCCGCCUGUCAAUUCCCGACAAACUCCGAAUGGGUGUACGUCAGAGUGUGGGAGUGAGUCAUUGGGUGCUAAUAUCCAGUGGCAAAAGGGUAAGAGCCCAGACCUACGGCCAAGGCCCCCAAGAGCAGUUUAAGUUGAGACAGAACGAAGUCACACCGCAUAGACAGCUAGGAUGUUAGCUUGGAAGCAGCUAUUCAUUCAAAGAGUGCGUAACAGCUCACUAGUCGAGCGGUGAGGCGUGGAUGAUGAACGGGCAUAAGACUGCCGCCGAAGCCGAGGGCGCGGAGCGAUCCGCGCGGUAGGGGAGCAUUGAUGCCGCGCAGAAGAUGUACCGUGAGGUAUGUUGGAGCGGCAUGAAAAGAAAAUGUAGGCAUAAGUAACGAUAAUGAGCAUGGAAAUGCUCACACCGAAAGCCCAAGGAUUCCUGAACAACGUUAAACGGAUCAGGGUCAGUCGGGGACUAAGCGGAAUCCGAGAGGAGCACGCGAUGUAAAGCCGGUCAACAUUCCGGCACGUCCCCCGCAGGCAAGCUGGUGACCGAGGAGUGACACUGCCGCCGUCGUACGGAAGCGACGGUUGAAGGACGUAGCGCAAGUGAAAUCCGACAGUACGGCGAGUCUUCGGACGAGCCGACAGCGCAGGUAAUCAAACUCGCGAGAAAAGCCAGUGAGCGAUAAGCGCGGGGGACCCCGUACCAUAAACCGACACAGGUGGGCGAGGAGAGGAUCCUAAGGUGCUCGAGUGAAUCACGGCCAAGGAACUAGGCAAAUUUACCCCGUAACUUCGGGAUAAGGGGACCCGUCCUCCGGGACGGGCGCAGAGAAAUGGCCCAGGCGACUGUUUACCAAAAACACAUGGCUAUGCGAAAUCGUUAAGAUGACGAAUAUGGCCUGACACCUGCCCGGUGCCGGAAGGUUAAGAGGGGGGCUCAGCGCGGAAGCAAUGAAGCGCGAAGGUCCGAAUCGAAGCCCCGGUAAACGGCGGCCGUAACUAUAACGGUCCUAAGGUAGCGAAAUUCCUUGUCGGGUAAGUUCCGACCUGCACGAACGGUGUAACGAUCUGGGCACUGUCUCAGCCGUGAGCUCGGUGAAAUUGUAGUGGCGGUGAUGAUGCCGCCUACCCGCAACGGGACGAAAAGACCCCGUGAACCUUUACUAUAGCUUAGCGCUGACUCUGGCUGGAUGAUGUGUAGGAUAGGUGGGAGACUGAGAGGCGGGGGCGCCAGCCCUCGCGGAGUCGAUGUUGAAAUACCACCCUUCGUCCAGCCGGGGUCUAACCAUCCGAGAUGGGACACCGCUUGGCGGGUAGUUUGACUGGGGUGGUCGCCUCCAAAAGAGUAACGGAGGCUUCCCAAGGUCCGCUCAGCGCGAAUGGCAACCGCGCGGAGAGUGCAGUGGCAAAAGCGGGCUUGACUGGGAGACAUACAAGUCGAGCAGGUACGAAAGUAGGGCAAAGUGAUCCGGUGGUUCCUCAUGGGAGGGCCAUCGCUCAUAGGAUAAAAGGUACUCCGGGGAUAACA